UUCCCCAUUUCGACAAUUGAGUAAAAAUGGACUUUUGGCUUACUUGGUGGGUCAUGAGAAUUUUUGUAUAUGACUGUUUUGGAAACUUAUAUUGCCUUAGGUUGUUGUUGUGAACGAUAAAGAGGAGGAGGAGACAGUGGAAGCCUCAAAUAGGGUUGAGCCUGUUGAUCUAAAUGCUGUUGAAAUAACCAACAACAUUGUGUUUCGGAAGCUUCUUCGGGGGCCAAGGUAUUUUGAUCCCCCAGAUAGCGGUUGGGGAGCAUGCUUUAAUUGUGGUGAAGGUCAUAUAGUAGCAAAUUGUACAGCAGCUAAGCGGAAGAAACCUUGCUUUGUUUGUGGGAGUUUGGAGCACAAUGCAAAGCAAUGCUCAAAGGGACAAGAUUGCUUUAUCUGCAAAAAAAAGUGGCCACCGAGCAAAAGACUGUCCUGAAAAGUACAAGGGUGGCUCUUUAAGUUUGAAAAUUUGUUUAAAAUGCAGAGAUUCAGGACAUGGUAUGUUUUCAUGCUAGAAUGAUUAUUCACCUAAUGAUCUCAAGGUUUUUUUCCCCUUCCCUUCUUUCAUACCCAAAGAAAAAAAAAACCAAUCAUUUUGCCAUUUUUUUCUACCAUUUGGAGAGGAAUGAAAAACAAAAACAUCUCAUGUUGGGGAAGAUAGAGAGACAUCUCAGGCUAGCACCACCAACAAACUGACUUUCAAGUCUAAUUUUCCUCCAUCUGUCUAAAUUUAAGUGAGAUCAGUUGUAAUUACGCUCACUUUCAUUUAAAAAAACGUUGUGCUCCUUUUUUUU